rnacentral:rRNA from 1 species
UGGCGGACGGGUGAGUAACGCGUGGGUAACCUGCCUUGUACUGGGGGACAACAGUUAGAAAUGACUGCUAAUACCGCAUAAGCGCACAGUAUCGCAUGAUACAGUGUGAAAAACUCCGGUGGUACAAGAUGGACCCGCGUCUGAUUAGGUAGUUGGUGGGGUAACGGCCUACCAAGCCGACGAUCAGUAGCCGACCUGAGAGGGUGACCGGCCACAUUGGGACUGAGACACGGCCCAA